CCUACGGGAGGCAGCAGUAGGGAAUUUUCCGCAAUGGGCGAAAGCCUGACGGAGCAAUACCGCGUGAGGGAUGACGGCCUGUGGGUUGUAAACCUCUUUUCUCAAGGAAGAAGUUCUGACGGUACUUGAGGAAUAAGCAUCGGCUAACUCUGUGCCAGCAGCCGCGGUAAUACAGAGGAUGCAAGCGUUAUCCGGAAUCACUGGGCAUAAAGCGUCUGUAGGUUGUUUAGUAAGUCUGCUGUUAAAGACUGGGGCUUAACCCCAGAAAAGCAGUGGAAACUGCUAGACUCGAGUGUGGUAGAGGUAGAGGGAAUUCCUAGUGUAGCGGUGAAAUGCGUAGAUAUUAGGAAGAACACCAAUGGCGAAGGCACUCUACUGGGCCAUAACUGACACUGAGAGACGACAGCUAGGGGAGCAAACGGGAUUAGAUACCCCGGUAGUCCUAGCCGUAAACGAUGGAUACUAGAUGUUGCACGUAUUAACCCGUGCAGUAUCGUAGCUAAGGCGUUAAGUAUCCCGCCUGGGAAAGUCGCNCGCAGAGAGAACGUAAAGUAAGUAGACGCGNGAGACGNGCGACGACGACGACGAGGGAGGUAGG
rnacentral:rRNA from 1 species